UUGAAGGACGAUCUUUCUCUCUCACGCGCGACAACGACCAAAAUGGAACUUAAAAGAAAACACUCACGUCUCACUCUCAGUUUCGUUCAGCUAUGGCUACAACAACAACAAUCGAAACCAAACACAUCCCUCUCGAUUUCCAAACGUAAUGAAUCAACAAACACGCAAUCAAGAGCACAUAAAAUAAAACCCAAAUCCCAGCAUAAACCCUAACCCUAACUCAAUUUUACUAUGAUGUUGGAUGUUACAGGUUACACAAAAAUUUGCGGUAAACAAAAUAAAAAAAAUGAAGGAUUUGCACAAACAAGGUACGCUCUUACGAUUUCAUUAUGCUUUGCUUCUUCUUCCUUCCGCUUCUACUGCUUCUGAGUGUGGUGUAUGUUGUGUGUGCGUGAAUACUGUGAUGGCUCAGUUGUUGUUGUGUUUUGCGGUGAUUCAGAUACAAUGAGUGUGUUGUGGAAAGUAUAUUUGAGGUUCGUAUAAGGUUGGAGUUUAUUGGUGAAUGGGAAAUUUGAGGAAUCUCUAGGCAAAGUUUUAUAUUGAUAGUGAGUGAGUGACUCGGCUUGGGUUGUAGGGAUGACUACGGUUGUUGUAUGUGAAGGUUAUGGAAGUGAGGAUGAUGAUUGAGUGUAUGAAGGCAAAGUAGGUUCUGAAGCAGAGUUUUGGUUUUGGAUUUGAGUGGAAGUUUUGGCAGAGGUUUGAAGUGUAUUUUUGUUGGUGGCUCCACCUAAAUGAAGAGGUGAAGGGUCACUUUUAUAGAUGGAUUGAGGUCUCUGGUGGAGCAGCAAUAGGUUGGUGGUGGAGCAGUGGAAUGAGGAAUCCUGGCUGCUGCAUUGUAGUACUAUUGUCCUUCUAUUUUUUUUUCAAAUUUUGUCACAUUGUGGCUUUGUGAACCUUGUGUUUUGCUUAUUUGAAUUUUCCUUGAUUUUUUUGUUAUUGUAACCGUAAAAGAUGUACUGCCGUAAAACAAACUUGGGAUCUUGCUGAUGGAAAAUAUUCUAUUGCUGCAAAAAUACAUAUUAUUGAACUAUUUUUA